rnacentral:rRNA from 2 species
CUACACAUGCAGUCGAGGGGUAGAACACUUCGGUGUUUGAGACCGGCGCACGGGUGCGUAACGCGUAUGCAAUCUACCUUAUACAGGGGAAUAGCCCAGAGAAAUUUGGAUUAAUGCCCCAUAGUGUUAUAGAAUCGCAUGGUUUUAUAACUAANGUUCCAACGGUAUAAGAUGAGCAUGCGUCCCAUUAGUUAGUUGGUAAGGUAACGGCUUACCAAGACNAUGAUGGGUAGGGGUCCUGAGAGGGAGAUCCCCCACACUGGUACUGAGACACGGACCAGACUCCUACGGGAGGCAGCAGUGAGGAAUAUUGGUCAAUGGGCGCAAGCCUGAACCAGCCAUGCCGCGUGCAGGAAGAAGCAUCUAUGGUGUGUAAACUGCUUUUAUACAGGAAGAAACACCUCCACGUGUGGAGGCUUGACGGU